ACAAACAACAAGGCUCUUCAUCGCCGAGGCAAAUAACCCGGCAACAUUUCCGAGAUCCAAAGAAUGUUCUUGCUUGAAAUCAAACUGGAGAACUUUUCCUGCUGUAACGGGAAAUAUUUCCUUUCCAACUACAUACUUUCAAGUCCUUGAAUCAUCUCUAUGAGUCCCAGCAGCACCCUUUUCUAUUGGCUUCACUUUGGUUUGGAUGAACCCAGGAUAUCCCCGGAUGAACACUUAAUGGCAGAUGGAUUGCAAGCCUUGUCAUUUGCUUCUGGAGCGCUCGCCCAAGCAUUUAGUACAGCAGUCUGCAUUCAGGAGGUGCUCAGUAAGUACCAUUGAGAAUGCAUUUUCAACAAACUCUUCCCUCCAACAAAGCCAAUAUUCAGCAUCCCCUGCCUUCCCCUCACCCUCCUUCCCCCAGUCCCCAGCCUCUAUAUGUGAGUAUAUUUAAAUGCUUUUGUUAGUUAAGAGGCCCUUUCAGACUCCCCAACAUAAAGUCUUCUUUGUGUUCUUUCUCCAAUGCCAUUGCCUCACAGCUCUCUCAGAAACAAAGGAUUUAUAAAAGAGAGUUUCUUCUCUA